AAUAGAUACCCUGGUAGUCCACGCUGUAAACGAUGGGCACUAGGUGUGGGGGGUGUCGACUCCCUCCGUGCCGAAGCUAACGCAUUAAGUGCCCCGCCUGGGGAGUACGGCCGCAAGGCUAAAACUCAAAGGAAUUGACGGGGGCCCGCACAAGCAGCGGAGCAUGUGGUUUAAUUCGACGCAACGCGAAGAACCUUACCUGGGCUUGACAUGUUCCUGACCUCCCUGGAAACAGGGCUUCCCUUCGGGGCAGGAUCAUAGGUGGUGCAUGGCUGUCGUCAGCUCGUGUCGUGAAAUGUUGGGUUAAGUCCCGCAACGAGCGCAACCCCCGUCGCAUGUUGCCAGCAUUUAGUUGGGGACUCAUGCGAGACUGCCGGUGACAAACCGGAGGAAGGUGGGGAUGACGUCAAGUCAUCAUGCCCCUUAUGUCCAGGGCUACACACGUGCUACAUUGGCGCGUACAGAGGGCUGCAAUGCCGUGAGGCGGAGCGAAUCCCUUAAAGCGCGUCUCGGUUCGGAUUGCAGGCUACG
rnacentral:rRNA from 1 species